UUAAACAAGAGAGUUCCGUUACCUCUGGGUCCGUUUCAUUAUUCUCCUAGUGUGAGCAGCGGAGGAGGGUGUAAACAGAGAAAGACACAGUGGGUCUUACAAGUGGAUGUCAUAAUACUGACGUCCAUGGAUACAAAACAAACAUUGUUGGCGCCAUUCAGUCAGUUUCUUCGCCAACACUGCAAAGAAUUGUUAGGCCUUUUUUGGAAUUGAUUAAACGUUAUUUGACUUUUGGCAUCUAUAUUUAAUCGUCCCAUAUCUUACUUCAUUUCAUCGCAUUUCAUUUUCAUUUCAUUUUAGUCGAAUACAACAACUUAGGCAUACCAUCUACCUUAUUCAUUAACAGGCACUUAAUCAGCACAUAAUUAUUUCGUAGGUUUUAUUUAUUAAAGUUAUUUUAUUUAAAAUAUUUCAUUAUACUGUCAUAAUGUUAGCUUUUUAAUCGUUAUUAUAGGUUUUAUAUUUUAUUGUUGUUUUACUAUUUAAUAUUUAUUUUUUUUUUUUAUUACGUUACGAAUCGCGUAAAUUUCGUAGACGCCACUAGUCAAAUUUCAAAUACAAAAACUAAUGAAAUUUUAUAUAUGGGAACUGGAAUCUUUCGACGUUUGCGCCUUUUUAUCCUCCUUGACGGGCUGAUUUGAUGAACGCCAUCGCGUCUUCGAGCAUCCAAGCAUCAAACAUAGUAAGAACUAACAUGUAUUAAAACCAAGAAGAGACCUAUAUAGUACCUUUUUGGUUAAAAUGUGAUGUUGCAUCCAUUUCUACUAACACGCAGGUGUAGACAUUAGGCUUUACUUUUUCAGGGCAGCGAAGCUAAUAAUAAUUAUGGUGGAGAUCGUGUUGAUACUCGCAAUACUUUAUAGGAAUUUUGGCUCGAUUGCAUAUUGGAAACAAAGUUUAAUGAUUAUCAUAUCAUAUAGAAUUGCGAUGAUAAUAUAGGUCAACCAUGGAUUCCAUGGCUAAACUUCAGUAGGCAUUCUAAUCUCCAUGCUAGGCCACUGUCACUAGAUGCUGGUAAUCUGACAACAUUAGAUCAUAUAUCCAGCAACAUUUUGACAACAUCAAUUUAUCAUAUUAAACAGCAUCAACUAGACUAUUUAUGAAUGUAUGUAUAACUAACACUUAGGCCGAUAUAAAACAGUUGAUUAUAUUGUUAUUGUUAUUAUGUUGAUUAUAUGCAAAUGUGACGGAACCACAGGUAAGUUACUAACGCAGCAAGACAUCGCCUCGAGCAUCCAAGCAUCAAACCAAGUAAGUCAACUAAUCACUAUAGGAUUGUUUGUGUAGAAAAAACAAUCGUACUAAUAUCGUACCCAAUGCCCAUCUUGUAAACCACUUUAUAUAAAAUCGUAGUGUUUUUAUUUAUUUUUUUAUUCGUGCCGAUAGUGGGUUAGGUCAGUAUUUGAUAAUGGUAGCAGGUGCUGCCUCAAUGCGUCUUCAAUUGUAUGCCUAUGAAAUUGUUGCAAUAAAUCAUUACAAACAAUUGUGUCUUUGUCUCUUUUUGUCUGUCUAUUUUUUAAUCACAUCAUGAUAAUAAGCCCCAUACCAAACAUUGUAUCCCUAUGAAUUUGAUUCAAUAAAUUGGUACAUUAGAACAUGCGUGUAUGACUCGUUUAUUUAACAUCUUCAGAAGUGUUUUUGUCUGAGUCUGUUAUGAAUUGUAAUUUUGUAAAUGUAAAACAAUAGUAAAUGGAAUUAAUUUACUAUUGUUAAAUUUCAGUGUAUGUAAAUCCAAGAUGUAUAAUAACUAAUAGCAUGUCUUUUAUUUCAGAAAUAUUAAUUUGUUGUCCACAGACAGUAGCAAGGCGACGAAUACCUUGUGCAUCACUGGUCUUCGUCGCCUAUGCAUGUGUGCGGAAUAAAUAAAUAUAUUCGUUCAAUCCUUAUUUUCUAACUUUGAAGUUCAUUUCAUUUCAGAAAAAAAAAUCUGGUGAUUUUGAUAAUGAUGCUUGAGGAAAUAUGCUAAUAUACUGAUUGGAUGGUGGUACUUCUGCCUAUUACUAAUUGUCGACGUGGAAUGAGAAAAAAAAAUAUUAAUGAUGAUUGUGAUGAUGACGGUAGCAAUGAAUAUUUAAUAGUGACGAUUAAUACAGAUUUUAAAGUUGUGGUUAAUAGAUUGAGUUUCUGUGGGUUGUGAUUUAAGCUGACUUUGUUAUUAAAAUAUACUAUAAUGACAAAUGAUGGUGAUGAAUGACAGUGAUGACGAUUGACGAUAAUAAAAUGGUGUGUUAAAACUUGCAAAGGUAAGUUGUGAGAAAAUAUUAGUUUGAAGUCUGAAACUUUCCAAGGCGACAUUGUGGGGUUGUGAAAUGACGUGAUGUGAAACUAGGGCUAUAAUCACAGGCCAUAUCUAUACAUAUAUUGUGUUUUCAUUUUAGAAAUAGAAAAAAACACAUAUUUUGAUGAUGCAUGUGAAUUUCCCAAUAAUCAAAUCAAUUUGAUAUUUGAAGUAGUGCCUCUUCUGAUGGAGAACUGAUAGACAUAAGUGCUCAUGGGGACGAUGAUAACGAUGAUGAGGACAACGAGGAUGAUGUAAUGAUGGCGAUAUAGAUGAUACAGUGACAACAAUGGUGAUGAUGAAAUGGUAGACCUGUGCUUGAAAACUAGUAGUCGAUACGCAAGGCAUUAAAUGCUUGUGGACUGUUCCGACCUGACUGGGAAUGUAGUGUGAUCGAUUUAAAAACAAGGAAAUAUGUGGACGUCGAUGGUUACUAAUGAUGGUAUGGUAAUGGACGGUUAUGAUAUUAAUAACGAACGUUGAUGAUGCUAAGAAAGAUACCUGGUGAUUUUGAUAAUGGUGCUUGUGGAUAUAUGCUAUGAUUGUCUGGUGGUUCUUCUGCGAAUGGAUACUUUAUCGACUUGAAUUGAAAACAAAAUUAGCAGUGACGAUGAUGUUGGUGGUGAUGAUGGUGAUUGUGAUGAUGAUGGUGUUAGCGAUAUAUACUAUGUAGACCUUUUCAUAUCGACAUGAAAGGAAUAUUGAACGAAUAAGAUGGUAUAAUUCAUGAUAACGAGAAUGUUGUUGCUGAUAAAGAUGGUGUUAAACAAUAACGACGAUGAUAAUUUGACGGUACUUGAUUACUAGUAUUAGACUCUUGAAGCUUUACUUUUGCUUAUCCUCCUAUCUUGGAUCCAAAUAUGGACUGCAAAGUUUGGGUGGUUCCUGAGAGCUUGUGAGUUGUGAUUUGAGUUGAUUUAAAGACUUUGCUAUUAAUUACAACACAAUAAAAUGACAGAUGACGGUGAUGAUUAAAAAAAAGCGAUGAUGAUUAACCGAAAACGAAAUGAUGUAAAUGAACUUGCAAAUGUAUAAAUUUUCAGAUGAUGUUUGAAUGCCUGAAAGUUGAGCUUGUUUGAAUUGUGAAAUGACAAUGGACUAUUGGGCUAUGCAUAGGUCUAUAAAUUUUACAACACAAAAUUUUGUUUUCAUUUCAUAAAAGAAAUAAUAAUAGUAAUGAAUUGCUUCAACGUGUUUCUUUUGAUGGUGAACAUCGAGGACGAUGAAGAUCAUAACGAAUAUGACCUUAUAUUGAUGGCGAUAUAAUGAUCUUGGUGACGAUGAAAUGGUAGACCAGCACGCUUGCAAAGGUUUACGCAGUACAUAUUAUUUGUAAACACAGUGCAACAGAAGUGGUUGAUAUGCAACUCCUUGAAUUCUUGUGAACUGCCGCCGACUUCAACAUACUGAAACUGUAUGCGAUCGAUUUAAAAGGAAUCUACUGGUGGACAUGGUGGAUUAAAUGUUGAUUCUACUAAAGGAAUUCGGAGCUGUGAUCAAGCUAAUUCCAGCACUGACCCAGGAAGCAAAUUUUGUUUAGUUUAUCAGCAGAAUAACAUCCGUUCAGAUUGAAUGAGCCAAUCUGAUCGACUUAAUUUAGAGAUGCAGCUGAGUAUUUUUGCAAAUGUUACAACGUACAAUUACCGUACAUAUUAUGGUGAAGACUAUUUGUCAUUGCAGUUGGUAAUAUUAAAUAUAGGCUAUAUAAUAAUAAUAAUAAUAAUAAUAAUAAUAAUAAUAGUAAUAGUAAUAGUAAUAGUAAUAGUAAUAGUAAUAAUAAUAGUA